rnacentral:rRNA from 1 species
UACAGAGGUCUCAAGCGUUGUUCGGAUUCAUUGGGCGUAAAGGGUGCGUAGGCGGCGCGGUAAGUCGGGUGUGAAAUCUUGGAGCUUAACUCCGAAACUGCAUUCGAUACUGCCGUGCUUGAGGACUGGAGAGGAGACUGGAAUUUACGGUGUAGCGGUGAAAUGCGUAGAUAUCGUAAGGAAGACCAGUAGCGAAGGCGGGUCUCUGGACAGUUCCUGACGCUGAGGCACGAAGGUCAGGGGAGCAAACGGG